rnacentral:rRNA from 1 species
AGACCCGAAACCCGGUGAUCUAGCCAUGGGCAGGUUGAAGGUUGGGUAACACUAACUGGAGGACCGAACCGACUAAUGUUGAAAAAUUAGCGGAUGACCUGUGGCUGGGGGUGAAAGGCCAAUCAAACCGGGAGAUAGCUGGUUCUCCCCGAAAGCUAUUUAGGUAGCGCCUCGUGAAUUCAUCUCCGGGGGUAGAGCACUGUUUCGGCUAGGGGGCCAUCCCGGCUUACCAACCCGAUGCAAACUGCGAAUACCGGAGAAUGUUAUCACGGGAGACACACGGCGGGUGCUAACGUCCGUCGUGAAGAGGGAAACAACCCAGACCGCCAGCUAAGGUCCCAAAGUCAUGGUUAAGUGGGAAACGAUGUGGGAAGGCCCAGACAGCCAGGAUGUUGGCUUAGAAGCAGCCAUCAUUUAAAGAAAGCGUAAUAGCUCACUGGUCGAGUCGGCCUGCGCGGAAGAUGUAACGGGGCUAAACCAUGCACCGAAGCUGCGGCAGCGACACUCAGGUGUUGUUGGGUAGGGGAGCGUUCUGUAAGCCUGUGAAGGUGGCCUGUGAGGGUUGCUGGAGGUAUCAGAAGUGCGAAUGCUGACAUAAGUAACGAUAAAGCGGGUGAAAAGCCCGCUCGCCGGAAGACCAAGGGUUCCUGUCCAACGUUAAUCGGGGCAGGGUGAGUCGACCCCUAAGGCGAGGCCGAAAGGCGUAGUCGAUGGGAAACGGGUUAAUAUUCCCGUACUUGGUGUUACUGCGAAGGGGGGACGGAGAAGGCUAUGUUGGCCGGGCGACGGUUGUCCCGGUUUAAGCGUGUAGGUGUGUGUUCCAGGUAAAUCCGGUUCACUUUAACACUGAGGCGUGAUGACGAGGCACUACGGUGCUGAAGCAACAAAUGCCCUGCUUCCAGGAAAAGCCUCUAAGCAUCAGGUAACAUCAAAUCGUACCCCAAACCGACACAGGUGGUCAGGUAGAGAAUACCAAGGCGCUUGAGAGAACUCGGGUGAAGGAACUAGGCAAAAUGGUGCCGUAACUUCGGGAGAAGGCACGCUGACAUGUAGGUGAAGUGAUUUACUCACGGAGCUGAAGUCAGUCGAAGAUACCAGCUGGCUGCAACUGUUUAUUAAAAACACAGCACUGUGCAAACACGAAAGUGGACGUAUACGGUGUGACGCCUGCCCGGUGCCGGAAGGUUAAUUGAUGGGGUCAGCGCAAGCGAAGCUCCUGAUCGAAGCCCCGGUAAACGGCGGCCGUAACUAUAACGGUCCUAAGGUAGCGAAAUUCCUUGUCGGGUAAGUUCCGACCUGCACGAAUGGCGUAAUGAUGGCCAGGCUGUCUCCACCCGAGACUCAGUGAAAUUGAACUCGCUGUGAAGAUGCAGUGUACCCGCGGCAAGACGGAAAGACCCCGUGAACCUUUACUAUAGCUUGACACUGAACAUUGAGCCUUGAUGUGUAGGAUAGGUGGGAGGCUUUGAAGUGUGGACGCCAGUCUGCAUGGAGCCGGCCUUGAAAUACCACCCUUUAAUGUUUGAUGUUCUAACGUGGACCCGUGAUCCGGGUUGCGGACAGUGUCUGGUGGGUAGUUUGACUGGGGCGGUCUCCUCCUAAAGAGUAACGGAGGAGCACGAAGGUUGGCUAAUCCUGGUCGGACAUCAGGAGGUUAGUGCAAUGGCAUAAGCCAGCUUGACUGCGAGCGUGACGGCGCGAGCAGGUGCGAAAGCAGGUCAUAGUGAUCCGGUGGUUCUGAAUGGAAGGGCCAUCGCUCAACGGAUAAAAGGUACUCCGGGGAUAACAGGCUGAUACCGCCCAAGAGUUCAUAUCGACGGCGGUGUUUGGCACCUCGAUGUCGGCUCAUCACAUCCUGGGGCUGAAGUAGGUCCCAAGGGUAUGGCUGUUCGCCAUUUAAAGUGGUACGCGAGCUGGGUUUAGAACGUCGUGAGACAGUUCGGUCCCUAUCUGCCGUGGGCGCUGGAGAACUGAGGGGGGCUGCUCCUAGUACGAGAGGACCGGAGUGGACGCAUCACUGGUGUUCGGGUUGUCAUGCCAAUGGCACUGCCCGGUAGCUAAAUGCGGAAGAGAUAAGUGCUGAAAGCAUCUAAGCACGAAACUUGCCCCGA